rnacentral:misc_RNA from 1 species
CGUGAGUCCAAGCAAGCUCAAAGCAAAUAGCCAAGGUCUGCCAAACUUAUAAAAAUCAGCGGCUAUAGCAAGAGGAAUGGCUGGGAAGAGGACGGCCAGCUUAGUUCCUAGAAUGACUUCUUGGAGGUUGGCCAAUAAAUGCCUGAGCAUUUGAAACCGAACGCUUGAAACAAGAACUGGGUCAGAUUUCUUACGCAUAAUCGAAGACGAUACAUUCUGCAGAGUUCUGCUGCCACUCAAAACCUCC